CAGUCGCCGCGGUAAUACGUAGGUCCCGAGCGUUGUCCGGAUUUAUUGGGCGUAAAGCGAGCGCAGGCGGUUAGAUAAGUCUGAAGUUAAAGGCUGUGGCUUAACCAUAGUACGCUUUGGAAACUGUUUAACUUGAGUACAAGAGGGGAGAGUGGAAUUCCAUGUGUAGCGGUGAAAUGCGUAGAUAUAUGGAGGAACACCGGUGGCGAAAGCGGCUCUCUGGCUUGUAACUGACGCUGAGGCUCGAAAGCGUGGGGAGCAAACAGGAUUAGAUACCCCAGUAGUCCCUGUCUCUUAUACC
rnacentral:rRNA from 1 species